rnacentral:tRNA from 1 species
AUUUAAAUAGUUUAAUUUAAAAUACUGAUUUGUGGGAUCAGUGAUGUAAUAGUUACUUUAGAUA